UUCUGGUUGAUCCUGCCGGAGGCUACCGCUAUUGGAGUUCGAUUAAGCCAUGCGAGUCGAGAGUCCUCGGGACUCGGCGCACCGCUCAGUAACACGUGGGUAACCUGCCCUAUGCUGGGGAAUAACCUCGGGAAACUGAGAAUAAUGCCCCAUAGCCCACUACGCCUGGAACGGUGAGUGGGUCAAAGCUCCGGCGGCAUAGGAUGGGCCUGCGCCGUAUCAGGUUGUAGGGGGUGUAAAGUACCCUCUAGCCAUCAACGCGUACGGGUGUUGGGAGACAUUGCCCGGAGAUGGAUUCUGAGACACGAAUCCAGACCCUACGGGGUGCAGCAGGCGCGAAAACUUGGCAAUGCGAGCAAUCGUGACCAGGGAACUCCAAGUGCGUAGGGUAAGACCUACGCUUUUCUUGACUCUUCAAAGGUCUUGGAAUAAGGGGUGGGUAAGGACGGUGCCAGCCGCCGCGGUAAUACCGGCGCCUCAAGUGGUAGUCGCUUUUAUUGGGCCUAAAACGUCCGUAGCCGGUCUGGUGCAUUCGUGGGUAAAUCAACCCGCUCAACGGGUUGAAUUCUGCGAGCACGGCCAGACUUGGGACCGGGAGAGGUGUGGGGUACUCUCAGGGUAGGGGUAAAAUCCUGUCAUCCUGAGAGGACCACCUGUU
rnacentral:rRNA from 1 species